rnacentral:rRNA from 1 species
UACGGAGGGGGCUAGCGUUGUUCGGAAUUACUGGGCGUAAAGCGCACGUAGGCGGCUUUGUAAGUUAGAGGUGAAAGCCCAGAGCUCAACUCUGGAACUGCCUUUAAGACUGCAUCGCUUGAAUUGUGGAGAGGUAAGUGGAAUUCCGAAUGUAGAGGUGAAAUUCGUAGAUAUUAGGAAGAACACCAGUGGCGAAGGCGGCUCACUGGCCCGGUACUGACGCUGAGGCGCGAAAGCGUGGGGAGCAAACAGGG